AUGCCUAAGCAACAGAGUAUGAGUAGACAGCAGAAAAAACAAAACAAAACAAAACAAAACACCAACAUUUUGGUGAACAUGAACAUUCUUCAUUUUCUAGAUUCCUUCAUUGUGUGUUCAGUGUCUGCACAUUUUGGUUCACUCAACAUAUGGAAAUACCUACUAUGUGCCAGAUCUGCACUAAGCUGUUGGAAUAUCCUGGAUGUUCUAAGUUCGAAACUCGGGAGGAAUACAUCAUCUUGCAAAAUACGUAAAUUGUAUAGCUGCCGUAUGGAUUUACAUUUCACCCCCUUCCUGUAACAUCUCUGCCAGGUGUUUGAAACUAACACAGUGCUGAUACCAGCUACAUGGCAAAUAUGGAGAAGAAGAGUAAGACUUUUUUUUGUGUGUGUGUAAGACAUUUUGGUUGUCAUACUUGGAAGCUGGGGAGAGAAUCUUCAUCUGCCAUUUAGCACUAUGAACUUCAUUAGAACACACAGUGUCUCUGCACUCGUGUUUUCUCAUCUAGAACCCAAAUAAAUGUAACCACCACAUAGAGUCUCUCCA
rnacentral:lncRNA from 12 species